AAAAUCAAAACUUUCGAAGCUUAUUUCGGACGGAGCGUCGUAUUUUUCAAAUGUGUCGGUGAAAUAUUUUGUGGGCAUAAAAAUCAUUGAAUCAAUUAUUUUCGUUCGACUUUUAUUUUUUCAAUCUCAGACAUGGAGGAACCCGAAUAUAUAAAGGACUAUACUGAGAAAGAAGCGGAGGAAUAUCUAAAGUUUAUGGACAAUGUAAAUAUGAAUAAAGCAAAGCACGAAUGUAAAGAGGUAACCCAGGAGCAACAGAAAAUGUACAUUAAAAGUUUGGCUGAUUCCUACCGAGAGUGUGAUUUUACUUACGAACCAAAAUCUAAUUUGUCCAUUUUAUCAAUGAAAAAUACAAUAUUAUCAAUGAUUGAAUCUAAUCCCGUGGUUGUAAUUCAAGGGCCAACUGGCUGUGGAAAAACCACUCAGAUUCCUCAACUUAUUCUGGAUGCCAAUACCAAGAAGAGACUUCAUUGCAACAUUAUAGUGACGCAACCACGACGAAUUGCUGCUAUAAGCAUAGCAAAACGGGUGAGCCAUGAAGGAGGCUGGCCUCUCGGCAGCGUCGUGGGUUACCGAGUUGGCAUGAAGCAGGAGAUUUCUCCUGAUACUCGUCUAACUUACUGCACCACUGAAAUCCUUCUUCAGCGAUUGAUACUGCGGAAGCACAUGCUUGAUUAUACACACGUGAUAUUGGAUGAAAUUCAUGAACGCGAUCAAGAAAUGGAUUUUCUUCUGCUAGUCGUGAAGAAGUUGCUGCAAACGAAUUCCAGCAUGGUGAAGGUGGUUCUCAUGUCGGCGACAGUCGACGUGAAAAGGUUUGCCGAAUAUUUUUCCAGACGAUUAAGAAACAAGUUAGUGCCGGCGCCUGUUGUGGAAAUGCCUGAGAAGAGAUGUUUCGAGAUUCAUACAUAUUUUCUAGACGAGAUAAAAGAUCUGGGUGCAAUACCACAAGUGUCCCCUUCCGAGCCGCGGGUCACACAAUCCAUGAUCAAUUUUUGCGCGAAAAUUAUCAUUGCCUUGGACGAGAUUGAUAUAAACGACAGCGGCGGCAACAAAGAGGCAAAAGGAGAUCAAACAAAUGUUGCCGUUUGUACGUCACAUAGGCACACGGUUCUCGUUUUCUUGCCAGGAAUCUACGAAAUCGAGGAGCUAUACACAUUUCUAUCGUCCAAGUGUUAUGAGGACAAAUUGUUGGAUUUGGUGGUAUUACACUCGAUGAUUUCCAGCGACGAGCAACAACGCGUCUUUUACAAACCACCGGCGCGCCAUCGGCGGAUCAUACUAUCAACGAAUAUCGCUGAGAGCAGUGUCACGGUGCCGGAUGUCAAGUACGUGAUUGACUUUUGCCUCGUCAAAUUAAUCGCCCUCGAUCCCGUCUCCAAUUAUCAGUCCUUGCAACUUUGUUGGGCAAGCAAAAUGAGUUGCGUGCAACGAGCAGGUCGUGCUGGCCGCGUGAUGGACGGCAGGGUGUACAGAUUGGUGCCGAAAGCGUUUUAUCACAAGGUACUCGACAACGAAGGCAUGCCAGAGAUGUUGCGUGCCCCUCUAGCCAAUGUCGUUCUGCGCGCCAAGAUCUUUGAUCUCGACGAUCCUCGCUCCCUCCUUGCUCUCUCCCUGGAUCCGCCUAGUCUCCAGAAUCUCUCGAGCACGAUUCUACAACUGAAAGAGAACGGCGCACUGAUGAACGAUCACCACGCUUUUCAACCCUUCGACGGCAAGCUGACCGAUAUGGGAAGAAUAAUGGCUCAACUCCCACUCCACAUACAAAUCUCCAAAUUAAUUAUGAUGGGUCACGUUUUUGGAAUUUUACGAGACGCCAUUGUGCUGGGCGCCAGCAUGGCGCUCAAGGACAUGUUUGUCUCAGGUGAAUGUCGCAACAGCAUCUCAACGUACUCGACGAAGAAGAAGUGGGCUCGCGGGACCGACAGCGAUUGCAUCGCUGCAUUAAAUGUGUACAAGGUUUGGCAGAACGAAAAGGCGAAUCGCCGAUUCACCACGUAUCAAAUCGAGAAGCAGUGGGCUCAAAGAAACGGCGUCCAACUGCGGACCUUGCGCGAAUUGGACGUUCUCGUCAAUGAGAUUACUCACAGAUUGACGAGGUUGGGCGUGAAAGAAACGGUCGGCGUGCGCAAGGUGAUCUGGGAGGGCCCGGAACGCGAGUUUGUGUUGCAAGUGAUUCUUGCCGGCGCUUUCUAUCCCAACUAUUUUGUCAAACGGCCGCUCAACGUUGAAGCUCACGAGAUUGACGUCGUUAAAAAUCUAAACGCUUUAGAUCCGUUGAAGACCGUUUGUAUGCGAGGCUGGCCGGUACAGCAACCGGGCUAUUUAUACGCGAGAAGACUGCAGGAGAUCUUUUCCCGACACCACGGUAUCCCGAAGGAGCGGAUAAUGGUCUCGUUCGAUGGUUCAGCACGAGUCUACAUGCAGUAUCGCGAGAAAGAGACGACCAACAGCGAUGAGAAUCUCUAUAGAAUAUCGGAUUUUGUUUACAUGUCUGUUAAAAUGCGGCAUUGCAAUAUUCCGAUUAAGAUCGAUUUGUUACGUGCGAAGGAAGCGCAGAAGAUAAGCAUAGAUCAGGAUUUGGACAGAUUUGAGAAGACUAUGUUCUUCAACAAGGAAAAGAACAGGAGUAAGACCAGGAGAGACUCGUUCAAAAUCAGGCCGGAACUGCCGGGGCUUGACAUAACUUUCGUACCUUUGUCCAUACAAAAUAUUGUUAGUCCGGGCUACUUUUGGGCUUCUCUGGAUGAUGAAGACACUCGCAAGAGAAUGUGCAGGAUCGAGUCCGCCCUUAACGCACAUCCCUUGCGAGAGUACCGCUUCCCUCCGAAAAUUAAAACAGUCGUCGCCGCCCCCAUGGAAAGGGACGACUCCGUAACAUAUCAUCGCGCAAUAGUCGAGGAGUAUGCCAUGGAGAUUGUGAACAUCUUCUUCAUCGAUCAUGGUCGCGCUUCUCGGGUGCGAUCCAGUGAUUUACGAGUGAUCGAUGAUGUUGUGAUUGCGAAGCUGCCUUCUCUGGCGUUCCGAUGCGCUCUGACCUCCGUUCGUCCGUCAAACGAGGCCAGCAAUUUCCAAGGACGAUGGUCGAAAGUCUCGCGAAGUUGCUUCGAGGCUCAAAUUCGCCAGAGCGAGAAAAUCUUUGGACAUAUUUAUUCGAUUGUAAACAGCAUCAUUAACUUAGAAUUGAUCGUCGUCGACAACGAAGACAGACAAUUAAAUAUGAACGAGUAUCUGAUUGAGAAGGGGCACGCUGUAAGUAGGAAGGAAGGUUUCUUGUCUAAGUAUAAUCACGAGCUGCGAGUGGAGCCCACUAUCGUGAACACAAUGUCGCCGGAGGAGAAAUCGUUUUAUGAGAAUCAGCAAUACGACGACGAGGACAAUUUAUCGGAGUAUCCCCUUCCACCGGAAGAAGCAGAUUGUAACUCGUGGAUACAGCUCCAAGGUCCUUAUUCGCCUCUCGAGAUCGACAUGUACCAGCUCACAGCAGCCGGCAAAUGCAUGAAAACGAUCGUCGAGAAUGAGUCCGUCAAUUCGAUUUUUCUCGAUGAAAAUUCCGAUCGAUCGAUGCGUCUGCUGGUAGCACAGAACAUUAAUCAGCUGAACAACAGCAAUCAGUUGCAUCUGCGAAACACUACUUUACUGCCGAACGUGCCGGGGCUCGCCGUGUUGCUCGCGUUGACUUUCGCACCGCGGGUCGAACUGAGAUGCAGUCCCUUGAGGACCUAUUACACCGGGGCCCUUUGCGGAUUGGGCCCGAUGGACAGCUGCACCGGCAGAGGCAUUUUUCCGGAUCACGAUAUGGAGAUUCUGUUCGACGUGGAAAUCUCGAACGAUGAUCUUCGAGAGAUCAAUAAAUUGCGCCAUUGGAUGAAUGUCGGCAUGCAACUACCAAAUAAUGCCGGUAAUAACCGUUUCGACAACGAUUAUUAUGACGAUGGUGAUGGCAACGACGAGCAAAUGAUGAAUUGUCAAAAUUAUAUAAAGCGCGCUUUAUUAGAGCUGCGAGAUCGACGCAGACGGUCGCAGGACCUUCUUGAGAUCGCCGACUCUAACCAAUGGAAUCGUUACUGUGAGUCCUUCUUUCUGCACGCCGUUCGCGACGUACAAAAAGGCGAGAUGUAUCCCCUGCAUAAAGCGUUGAAAUUACGAGAGAGAAACGAUGAACUGGAAGAUAUGGUGAGGCGUCUCGCCAAGUUGUAUCAUAUAUCUAACGGAGACAGACGUAAGUUGAGCAAUGUGAAUGCUUACUGCGAAUUAUGCGAGGUGGAGGUGUACAGCCAGUUGAAUCUGCGCGGUCAUCUUUACUCGCAGCAACAUGUAAAGAAUGAGGAGAGUCUGCAGAUACCAAACCUCAGGGAAUAUUAUUAUCACUACGUUUGAACGUGCGGUUUGUAUUAGAAAAAUUAUCAUUAUUGUAAUAUGCUAUGUGUUUUCAGUAUUAUUAUAUUAGGAAAAGACUUUGUUUAAUUAAGUGACAGCUUGUCUGCGCAGUGUUUAACCAGUAUUUAAAACACAGGGUUUAACGAAACCGUGAUUGGAACACGUUUAUUUAUUUAGAAUAAUACCAGAAUAUUGAUAUUUCUUCUUAUAUCCGAACGCUUUUAACUGUGAAAAAUAUCUGUUUUUUUUUUUUUUAUUAUUAUAUAGAUUUAUGAGUAAUUUUUAAUACAUAGAUACAUGAUCAUUUUUAUGUUUAUACUAUGGUAUAUAUGAUAAUUUUUACGUUUAUACUGUGAGAUUUGCCAAAGAAAAUCAAUAAAAUAUACGAGCGCUGUUGCAUUAUUAGUUGACCAGUUCAGAUCUCUCAUUGAUGUGAAUUUUUUAAAGUGGCUAAACUCGGGAAGAAGAGACUUAAAAAAAAAAUAUCGAAGGAUCAUGAGGGAGAAGCGACUUGUAGGACAUUUGGAUAUGCAUACAUAUUCAUAAUAAUUAUUGGGUAUACAAGUAUGACUUUACGGAUUUUCAAUAGAUGGCGUAUCGCGUACUGAUGGCAUUAUGUUGAGGUUGGUAAUACUUGUAUCAGAAAGGUCUGUACGCAGCUGUCAAACGUAGUUGAUGCUAUUUGACUGAAGUGUAAACGGUUGUUAUAUUUAUCGUAUUGAAAAUGUCUACUUUUGUACCGAAUAAACGUCAUUUGCGGAAAGUGUUACUGCAUUAUUUUGUUUUAAAGAAAAGUGCAGUUGAAAGCCAUCGUUUGCUUGUUUGGACUCUUACAAAGAAUAUGCUCCAUCGCAAGUUGUGGAACUGGGCCUUUGAUUUGGAUGAUAAACCGCAUGGAAAGCCGCCGAAAAAAUUUGAAGACGCACAAUUGGAAGCAUUACUGGACGAAGAUGCGUGUCAAACGGAAAAAGAAUUGGCAACAGCAUUAAAUGUUAUCCAACAAUGCAUUUCCUUAUGCCUGAAUGCCAUGGGAAUGGUCCAAAAGCAAGGAAAUUGGGUGCCACACGAAUUGAAAGAAAGAGACAUUGAAAGAAGAAAAACCACAUAUGAAUUAUUGCUGCAACUUAAAAAAAAAGGGUUUUUUACAUCGAAUUAUUACUGGCGAUGAAAAGUGGAUUUACUAUGACAUUUCUAAACGCAAACCACCAUUGGUUAAGCUCAGUGAACUCGGUCAACACCAAAGCGAAACAUCCACGGCAGCAAAGUUAUGUUGUGUAUCUGGUGGGAUAUGAAGAGUAUGAUGUAUUAUGAGUUAUUGCAACCAUUUGAAACUAUUACUAGUGAAUGCUACCGACUGCAAUUAAUACGUUUGAACCAGGCUCUGACGGAAAAACAGCCGGAAUGAGACAAUAGACAUGACAAAAUAAUUUUACAGCAUGACAAUGCCAGACCACAUGUUCAUAAAUCCGUCACAAAUUAUCUAGGAGUGAACUGGGAGAUUCUACCUAACCCGCCAUACUCACCA
rnacentral:misc_RNA from 1 species